rnacentral:rRNA from 1 species
GAUGAACGCUGGCGGCGUGCCUAAUACAUGCAAGUCGAGCGAACAGACGAGGAGCUUGCUCCUUCGACGUUAGCGGCGGACGGGUGAGUAACACGUAGGUAACCUACCUAUAAGACUGGGAUAACUUCGGGAAACCGGAGCUAAUACCGGAUAAUAUUUCGAACCGCAUGGUUCGAUAGUGAAAGAUGGCUUUGCUAUCACUUAUAGAUGGACCUGCGCCGUAUUAGCUAGUUGGUAAGGUAACGGCUUACCAAGGCAACGAUACGUAGCCGACCUGAGAGGGUGAUCGGCCACACUGGAACUGAGACACGGUCCAGACUACUACGGGAGGCAGCAGUAGGGAAUCUUCCGCAAUGGGCGAAAGCCUGACGGAGCAACGCCGCGUGAGUGAUGAAGGUCUUCGGAUCGUAAAACUCUGUUAUUAGGGAAGAACAAACGUGUAAGUAACUGUGCACGUCUUGACGGUACCUAAUCAGAAAGCCACGGCUAACUACGUG